GGGAAGUUGGUUCAGAGGUUAAGAGCACUGGCUGCUCUUCCAGAGGAUCUGGGUUCUAUUCCCAAUUCCCA
rnacentral:tRNA from 1 species